GCCAAACCCGGAGGACCUGAAGACCAGAGCCCAGAGACUGGAGUGAGGCUGUUUUCGGGAGUGACUGAGCUGAUAGAAGCCACAAGUAGGACCUGAGGCAGCAGGUUGUACUUUCCCCAGCUGGCCCUACGGCGGAGGCUAGGCCAGCUGAGCUGCAUGUCCAGACCUGCUCUGAAACUGCGCUCCUGGCCCCUGACCAUCCUCUACUACCUCCUGCCCUUCGGUGCCCUCAGGCCCCUCAGCCAGGUGGGAUGGAGGCCUAUGAGCAGGGUGUCCCUGUAUAAGUCUGUGCCAACACGUUUGCUGUCACGUGCCUGUGGUCGCCUCAACCAGGUAGAACUUCCUUCCUGGCUCCGGAGGCCAGUCUACAGCCUGUAUAUCUGGACCUUCGGGG
rnacentral:lncRNA from 1 species